rnacentral:rRNA from 1 species
GAUGAACGCUGGCGGCGUGCCUAAUACAUGCAAGUCGAGCGAACAGACGAGGAGCUUGCUCCUCUGACGUUAGCGGCGGACGGGUGAGUAACACGUGGAUAACCUACCUAUAAGACUGGGAUAACUUCGGAAACCGGGACUAAUUACGGGUAAUAUAUUUUACCGCAUGGGUCAAUAAUUAAAAACGGUUUUUCUUUCACCUAAUGAUUGAUCCCGCCCGCAUUUGGUAGUUGGUAAGGUAACGGCUUACCAAGGCGACGAUUCGUAGCCGACCUGAGAAGGUGAUCGGCCACACUGGAACUGAGACACGGUCCAGACUCCUACGGGAGGCAGCAGUAGGGAAUCUUCCGCAAUGGGCGAAAGCCUGACGGAGCAACGCCGCGUGAGUGAUGAAGGUCUUCGGAUCGUAAGACUCUGUUAUUAGGGAAGAACAAAUGUGUAAGUAACUAUGCACGUCUUGACGGUACCUAAUCAGAAAGCCACGGCUAACUACGUG